rnacentral:rRNA from 1 species
CAGGACGAACGCUGGCGGCGUGCCUAACACAUGCAAGUCGAGCGAGGAGAUUCCUUCGGGAUGAUCCUAGCGGCGGACGGGUGAGUAACACGUGGGCAACCUGCCUCAUAGAGAGGAAUAGCCUUCCGAAAGGGAGAUUAAUACCUCAUAACAUUGCAGUUUCGCAUGAAACAGCAAUUAAAGGAGCAAUCCGCUAUGAGAUGGGCCCGCGGCGCAUUAGCUAGUUGGUGAGGUAACGGCUCACCAAGGCGACGAUGCGUAGCCGACCUGAGAGGGUGAUCGGCCACAUUGGGACUGAGACACGGCCCAGACUCCUACGGGAGGCAGCAGUGGGGAAUAUUGCACAAUGGGGGAAACCCUGAUGCAAGCAACGCCGCGUGAGUGAUGACGGCCUUCGGGUUGUAAAGCUCUGUCUUCAGGGACGAUAAUGACGGUACCUGAGGAGGAAGCCACGGCUAACUACGUGCCAGCCGCAGC